UGUGUGUGGCAUUUGUUGCCUUCGCUGACUGUUGUGUAUUUGCGUGCAUUUGUCACAUUCAGGGCCUCCUACUCACCCCCAUGUUGUUAAAACAGCCUGUAUCGGGACACUAGGAAGGACACGAACACCGAUGGUCGUCACUGUCCCCAACGCCCCGGAUGUGCCAGAGACCAGCAAGAUGCUGGAAGAUGUAGACAGCUACCAUUGACCAUCCCCCAGCUCACCUCACCCAACCCAUACGGCGCCCCCUAUCCUCUGUGAAAGACUGACCCUCUCCUCCUUUCCUUUCCUCUCUUCUCCUUCCUUCCUCCCUCCCUUCCUCCCUCCAGGUGCUUGCUUCCCUCGCCCCCUGCCCCUCCCCCGCCCCCCGCAGUAACCCUGUUCCUCUCCCUCAGAGCUACGAGCCCGACGAGCUGACCGAGGAGAUGGCCCACCUCGAGGGCCUCAUGAAGGACCUGAACGCUAUCACCACAGCGCCAUGAGCAUGCACACACACACACACACACACACACACACACACAUACCUACAAACACACUUUCUCUCACACGUACACACGGAAUUUCACACCCUCUCAAGUCAAACAAACACGCCCAAACAUGAACCUUGGGAGCCAAAAGGCUGGUGGACACAAAAUGGCUUCUUUUGCCCAAGAAAACUCUCACGUCCCCUUGUAGAGAAAAACAAACAAACUCCAGACUGGAACUUAGGAACUUUUUUCGGCUUACCUUGCUCAGUCUCAGGAAGGAGAUUGCCAUGAGAAGGAAGAAAAAGUGACGCGCUUCAUCUUUUAAUGAAGAAUUAUUCUCAGAGACAAUGAACUUUUAAACAUUGGUCGCUUUUAACCGGAAGAUUGUGAAAUUUUUUUCCUCAGCAAAAAAUACGUGCGGUAGGUUUUUUUGUGGUGAAUGUUCGCUCAAGAUGAGACAAUGGUUGAUUCAAUGUCAAGUCAAAAGGAGAAAGUCCAAAAAUAUGCUGGUUUUGAUGUUGGUGCUCAUGCAGCACAGUCUACACACAGUGUUCGUUUGAUUAGUGUUUUCUUUGUGCAUUUUGUAUAUCUAUUGGGCCGUUUCAGUGAAGUGAACAUUGGAUAUCAGCCCCCCCUUUUACAAGCCAACAUUAUUCAGAAACGUGGUCAUUUUUUGUAGUUUAUCCCCUUGUGUCAUAUAUUGUUCCAUUACUUUUUAUUAUUUUCUAUGUUAUUGUAUUAUUUUUCUACACACAUAUCCUUAUAAACAUGUACAUAUGAUGUUUUUUUUUUGUUGUUUUUUUUAAACUGCCUCAUUCUUUUGUUUCCCAUUGUUUCAUUAUUUUUAUUUGAGAUGAAAGUGGAAUUACAAGUUAGUCCUGAAGCUAAGUUUUCAUAUCAAAAGGGGAGAGAAGCCUGAUGUGUUUUAGAGUACAUUGUUCUUUGGCAUUGUGUUGCCCCCUUUGUACAUUAAACAUCUUUUUUUCAGUCUUUUGUUUGUUGUGGGAGCUCCGUUUUAAAAGCCUUACCAAUGUGUUUGUACGUUGGACAGUCGAGGCGUGUCAGCUCUUCGCGGUUGAUGCUCGGAGGUGUGCUGUCAUGCACCGCCAUGGCAGUUUCCAUGUACUUCUGUGGGGUAAGACAGUGUCUCCUUACAGGUCAGGGGUACCUAGGACUCUGGGCGCUGACCCCACCCCUUCUAAAAAACUAAAUAAAAAAACAUAAGACAAGCUCACAUGGCACCCAGUCAGUCAAUCAAUCGAUCAAUCAAUCACCUGCAAAAGACGAGUUAUCUUUUAUACGAGAAGUUCGAUCGAAUCCAAAAACCAAUAUUUGGUUUCAGACGUCCGUACUGCUGAACCACGUGUGCGUUUUCCCACAGCGGUGUGUGUUUGCAGUUUUUCUUCCCAGCUGUACUUCAUCAAAUGCCCUGGUUCCUUUACAAAGAUGCAAAUAUGUUGGCCUUUUGAAUAGGACUCCCAGAUUUUUUUACAUUGUAGUUUUUGUAUGAAGAAAAAAAAAAGAAGAAGGUUGUUCAAUACACAAAUCUGAU